rnacentral:pre_miRNA from 1 species
CAUGUACUCCCUCCGUCCCAAAAUUCUUGUCUUACAUUUGUCUAGAUACAGAUGUAUCUAACACUAAAACGUAACUAGAUACAUCCGUAUUUAGAUAAAUCUAAGACAAGAAUUUUGGGACGGAGGGAGUAUGUA